AUUGUAAACAAAACAUUUUAAAAAAUCAUGGAACUUCGAAAAGAUCAAACCGAAGGUGCCCAUUUAACAUAAGGAAAGGUUGGCAAAGAUGGAUCCACCAUUAAUAUCCUUUAUUAGAAUUCCAUCAAGUAUUAUAUAGCUGACUGUUUUCUGGAAUCGAACCUACUAUCUUAGGGACAUAUGUAUCUCGAGAGUGUUCUGUAUCGAUGCAAGGCUGUGAUUAUGCCUGUGGUCGAAGCUUAAGUAGAGAGCCUGAUUUGCUU